rnacentral:rRNA from 1 species
UACGUAGGUGGCAAGCGUUGUCCGGAAUUAUUGGGCGUAAAGCGCUCGCAGGCGGUCUUUUAAGUCUGAUGUGAAAGCCCACGGCUUAACCGUGGAGGGUCAUUGGAAACUGGAGGACUUGAGUACAGAAGAGGAGAGUGGAAUUCCACGUGUAGCGGUGAAAUGCGUAGAGAUGUGGAGGAACACCAGUGGCGAAGGCGACUCUCUGGGCUGUGAACUGACGCUGAGGCGCGAAAGCGUGGGGAGCAAACAGG